rnacentral:lncRNA from 1 species
CUGGAAUGCUCAUAUAUUGAAAUCCAACGUGAUACCAAUCUGUAACACUAACGUUAACCCUGACUAUCAUGCUCACACUCAAAUAAUCAGUUACCUGAAUUUCAACACUAUCUGUAAUUCUUACCCUAACACUAACCCAAAAACUAACAUUCAUACCCACACUUCAAAACUCAGGUGUAUGUAUUUGAACCCCUGAAUGUAACCCUGAACCUAACUCUAACCAAAACCCUAACCCUAACUCUACCCAACAUAGCCACAUUGCAAUGCUCAAGUACUUGAAAUCCCACAUGGUACCUCACCUUAACACUAAACUUAACCCUAACCAUUAUAUAGGGACUUAAAUUCCAAGACUAUGAAUUCAUAACCCUGAACCCAACACCAACCAUAACCCAAAAGCUAACACUAAAUCUACAACUCAUAUACACAGGGUAAUAUUCAGGUUCUUCAAAUCCAAAACUAUAUGUAACCUUUAAACUAAUCCUAAUCCCUAACCAUCAUACUCACACUCCAAUAAUCAGGUAAUUGUAUUCCAACCAUAUCCCUAACCCUCAGGCUAACCCCAACCCUAAUCUGAAUGGAAAACCUAAAACUACCUGUCAUAGAAACAUUGUAAUGCUCAGCUAAUUGAAAUUGAACAAUGUACCUCACAAUAACACUAUAUCUAACCCUAGUGUUCAUAUUUACACUAAAAUAAUCAGGUACUUGAUAUUCCACCAUAUUCCUAACCCUAAAAACCCUAACCCUACGCAUCAUAGCCACAUUGCAUGAUCAGGUAAUUUAAACCAAACAUUUUACCUCACCCUAACUCUAAACCUGUUACUAACAUUCAUACUCAUACUACAAAAAUUAGGUAUAUGGUUGUAAUUCAUACCUAAUUUACCGUAUCUCUAACCUUAACCCUCACCAUAACCCUAACACUAAACAUAAUUCACACACUCCAAUAGGCAGGUAUAUAAAUUCCAACACUAUUUGUAAGCCUUAUCCUGACAGGACCUCAAAAACUAACAUUCAUAUCCACACUCAAAUACUCAGGUAAAUGAAUUUGAACCAUAAACCUAAGCCUGACCCUAACCAUCAUGUUCAAAAUCCAUAUCCCAAACCCUAACCCUAACCCUAACCCUAACACAAACCAUGAUUUCCACAUUCCAACAGGUAGGUAUGUGAAUGCCAACACUAUUCAAAGCCCUUACAAUAACAGGAAUACUAAGCCUAACAAUCACACUCAAACUCCAAAGCCAAUUCACAUGAAUUUGAACCCUAAAAAUAAUCUUAAACAUAGCCCUAACUGUAACCCUCAUACCCACAAUCUAAUACCCAAGUAUUUGUAUUUCUACACUAUCCCUAACCCUAAUGCUAAAAUUGACAUUUACACUAACUUUCAAAACCAUACUACUACAAUACUAGGAUUUUUAAAUCCUGACACUAUUCCUGAACUGAACCUUUAAUAUAACCCUAAACCUAACCCUAUCCCUAAAUGCUAGCAGUCAGCCACACUAAAAUGCUCUGUAUCGAAAUCCAACAGGAUACCAAUCCCUAACACUAAUCAUAACCCUUACUAUCAUGCUCACACUCAAAUAACCAGGUAGUUGAAUUCCAACACCAACCUUAACCCUAACACUGACCCUGUCACUAACCAUAACACCCCCACUUCAAUAAUCAGGGACCUGAAUUUAAACACCAUCUGUAACCCUUACACUAACUUGAACUCAAAAACUAACAUUCAUACCCACACUUCAAAACUCAGGUAGGGGCUGGGGAUUUAGUUCAGUGGUUCCACCACCUGCCUUGCAAGCACAAGGUUCUGAGUUUGAUCCCUGGUAACAAACCAAAAAAAAAAAAACCCUCAGGUAUAUGAAUUUGAACCCUGAACCUAACCCUAACCCUAACCAUCAUAUCCAUUAAUACACUACAGAGGUGGUUGAAUUCUGACACAAUCCCUAAACCUAACCCUAAAACUAAAGCGAACAGUAACAAUCAAACCCACACCCCAAUCACAGGUACUUCAAUUGUAAGACUAUCACUUACCCCAAACAUAACCCUGUCUAAAACUCUAAACCUAACACUAUCAGUAAUAGCCACAAUUCAUUACUGAGGACCUUCAAAUCUAAACAUAUACCUAACCCUAACACUAAUCCUAACCCUAACCAUCAUACUCACACUUCAAUAAUCAGGUACUUGAAUUUCAAACAGAUCUCUUACCCUAACACUAACCCUAAACCUAAUGUUCACCAUAACACUAAGCAUAAUCCACACCCUCCAAUAGUCAGCUGCCUAAAUUUGAUCAGUAUCUUUAACCCUUACCCUAACAUGAACUCAAAAACUAACAUUCAUAUCAACACUCCAAAACUCAAGUACAUGAAUUUGAACCCUAAACCUAACUCUAAUCAUCAUAUUCACACUCUAAUUUAUAGAAACUUAAACCCAAGACUAUUACUGACACCAACACCAACCCUAA